GAUGAAGAACGUAGCGAAAUGCGAUACGUAAUGUGAAUUACAGAAUUCAGUGAAUCAUCGAAUCUUUGAACGCAUAUUGCGCUCUCUGGUAUUCCGGAGAGCAUGCUUGUUUGAGUAUCAGUAAACACCUCAACGUCCAUAUCUUUUUUGAAAUGGGAGUUGGACUUGAGUGAUCCCAACGCUUUUCCUCACCGAAAAGUGGCGGGUUACUUGAAAUGCAGGUGCAGCUGGACUUUUCUCUGAGCUAUAAGCAUAUCUAUUUAGUCUGCCAAAAAAACAGAUUAUUACCUUUGCUGCAGCUAACAUAAAGGAGAUUAGUUCUUGUGCUGACUGAUGCAGGAUUCACAAAGACAGGCUUCGGCCGACUUUGUAAACUCGAUCUCAAAUCAAGUAAGACUACCCGCUGAACUUAAGCAUAUCAAUAAGCGGAGGA
rnacentral:misc_RNA from 1 species